CGGGGUGGCUUUUCAGAGGUGUAAAAAGCUUCUGGAAUAAGGGCUGGGCAAGACCGGUGCCACCCGCCGCGGUAACACCGGCAGCUCAAGUGGUACCCGCUUUUAUUGGGCCUAAAGCGUCCGUACCCGGUCUGAUAAGUCUCUGGUGAAAUCCCACAGCUUAACUGUGGGAAUUGCUGGAGAUACUAUCAUGACUCGAGGUCGGGAGAGGCUGGAGGUACUCCCAGGGUAGGGGUGAAAUCCUGUAAUCCUGGGAGGACCACCUGUGGCGAAGGCGUCCAGCUGGAACGAACCUGACGGUGAGGGACGAAAGCCAGGGGCGCGAACCGGAUUAGAUACCCGGGUAGUCCUGGCCGUAAACGAUGUGGACUUGGUGUUGGGAUGGCUUCGAGCUGCCCCAGUGCCGAAGGGAAGCUGUUAAGUCCACCGCCUGGGAAGUACGGCCGCAAGGCUGAAACUUAAAGGAAUUGGCGG
rnacentral:rRNA from 1 species